GACGAGCGCUGGCGGCGUGCUUAACACAUGCAAGUCGAACGGAAAGUCCCUGCUUUUUGGGGGUCCUCUAGGUACGAACUGGUGAGUAACACGUGAGUAACCUGCCCUUGACUGUGGGAUAUCUUCAUAAAACUUGGUCUAAUACCGGCUAGGAGCUCCUGCUGCUGGGUGGGGGUGCGUUAGUUUCGGCGGUUGGUGAUGUACUAGCGGCUUAUCGGCUUGUUGGUUGGGUAGUGGCUUACCAAGGCUUUGACGGGUAGCCGGGCUGAGAGGGUGACCGGACCAAUUGGGACUGAGAUACGGCCCAGCCUCCUACGGGAGGCAGCAGUGGGGAAUAUUGCACAAUGGGCGGAAGCCAGAUGUAGCCCAGCAGUGUGCGGGAUGACGGCAUUCGGGUAGUAAAGCGAUUUCGCCUGUGACGAAGCGUGAGUGACGGUAAUGGGUAAAGAAGCACCGGCUAACUACGUG
rnacentral:rRNA from 1 species